CCUACGGGAGGCUGCAGUGGGGAAUAUUGGACAAUGGGCGAAAGCCUGAUCCAGCCAUGCCGCGUGUGUGAAGAAGGCCUUCGGGUUGUAAAGCACUUUCAGUGGGGAAGAAAGCCUUGGGGCUAAUACCCUCGAGGAAGGACAUCACCCACAGAAGAAGCACCGGCUAACUCCGUGCCAGCAGCCGCGGUAAUACGGAGGGUGCGAGCGUUAAUCGGAAUUACUGGGCGUAAAGCGCGCGUAGGCGGUCUGAUAAGCCGGUUGUGAAAGCCCCGGGCUCAACCUGGGAACGGCAUCCGGAACUGUCAGGCUAGAGUGCAGGAGAGGAAGGUAGAAUUCCCGGUGUAGCGGUGAAAUGCGUAGAGAUCGGGAGGAAUACCAGUGGCGAAGGCGGCCUUCUGGACUGACACUGACGCUGAGGUGCGAAAGCGUGGGUAGCAAACAGGAUUAGAUACCCGGGUAGUC
rnacentral:rRNA from 1 species